GAACUCUGGAGAGUCUCAGGUAAUGAGCGCCGAAGGUGUAACACAGACGCAGGUUCGGAAAGGAGCUGCAGCUGUCUAUCUCUCAGGCAAAAGGACAGGGC
rnacentral:ncRNA from 1 species